rnacentral:rRNA from 1 species
AACGAACGCUGGCGGCAGGCUUAACACAUGCAAGUCGAACGCGUGCAGCAAUGCACGAGUGGCGCACGGGUGAGUAACGAGUGGAUAUCUGCCUUUUGGUUCGGAAUAACCCCGGGAAACUGGGGCUAAUACCGGAUGGUUCCUACGGGAUAAAGAUUUAUCGCCAAAAGAUGAGUCCGCGUCCGAUUAGCUAGUUGGUGAGGUAAUGGCUCACCAAGGCGACGAUCGGUAGCUGGUCUGAGAGGACGAUCAGCCACACUGGGACUGAGACACGGCCCAGACUCCUACGGGAGGCAGGAGUGGGGAAUAUUGGACAAUGGGGGCAACCCUGAUCCAGCCAUGCCGCGUGAGUGAUGAAGGCCUUCGGGUUGUAAAGCUCUUUUGGCGGGGACGAUGAUGACGGUACCCGCAGAAUAAGCACCGGCUAACUUCGUG